UAUGUGAUCGUCUCUCGCAUAUCAAUAAGCGGAGGAAAAGAAACUAACAAGGAUUCCCCUAGUAACGGCGAGUGAAGCGGGAAGAGCUCAAAUUUGAAAUCUUAAAGGGUUUCCCUUUACGAAUUGUAGUUUAAAGAAGUGUUUUCUGUUGAGGUUUUGGUAAAAGUUCUUUGGAAUAGGACAUCAUAGAGGGUGAGAAUCCCGUAUUUGACCUUUACUUUCAACUUUGUGAUACACUUUCAAAGAGUCGGAUUGUUUGGGAAUGCAGUCCAAAAUGGGUGGUAAAUUUCAUCUAAAGCUAAAUAUUGGCGAGAGACCGAUAGCGAACAAGUACCGUGAGGGAAAGAUGAAAAGAACUUUGAAAAGAGAGUUAAACAGUACGUGAAAUUGUCAAAAGGGAAGCGUUUGACACCAGUGUUGUUUUUCUGAAAAUCAAUUAAAGAACUGUUUAUGCUAAGCUGUUUAGACUUUAUCAGCUAUCUGCUUUAGUUUUGAGCUUUUCUUUAAUGCACUUUUCAGUUAACAAGUCAACAUCAAUUUCUUUUGCUGUAAAAAAGCUUGAGGAAGGUGGCUUGAGAUUCGUCUUAAGUGUUUAUAGCCUCUUGCCUAUGCAGUCGGAGAGAUUGAGGUCUGCAGCGUAGAUCCUUCGGGGCUAAAUGCAUUUGUGCUAAGUUAUAGCAUUUUAUAGACAACUUGUUGACUAUGAUUUGUCUUGUAGCUUACUCGCUUAUGUUAUUUUACCUACGCUUAGGAUGUUGAGUAGCGACAUACGCAC
rnacentral:rRNA from 1 species